rnacentral:rRNA from 1 species
UACGGGGGGAGCAAGCGUUGUUCGGAUUUACUGGGCGUAAAGGGCGCGUAGGCGGCACCGCAAGUCGACUGUGAAAUCUCCGGGCUUAACCCGGAAAGGUCAGCCGAUACUGCGGGGCUAGAGUGCGGAAGGGGCAACUGGAAUUCUCGGUGUAGCGGUGAAAUGCGUAGAUAUCGAGAGGAACACCUGCGGCGAAGGCGGGUUGCUGGGCUGACACUGACGCUGAUGCGCGAAAGCCAGGGGAGCGAACGGG